GUCACACCAUGAGAGUCGGGAACACCCGAAGUCCGUAGCCUAACCGCAAGGGGGGCGCGGCCGAAGGUGGGCUCGAUAAUUGGGGUGAAGUCGUAACAAGGUAUC
rnacentral:rRNA from 1 species